GACGAACGCUGGCGGCGUGCUUAACACAUGCAAGUCGAACGGAAAGGCCCGGCUUUUGUGGGGUGCUCGGGUGGCGAACGGGUGAGUAACACGUGAGUCACCUGCCCUUGACUUUGGGAUAACUUCAGGAAACUGGGGCUAAUACCGGAUAGGAGCUCCUGCUCCAUGGUGGGGGGUGGGAAGUUUCGGCGGUUGGGGAUGGACUCGCGGCUUAUCAGCUUGUUGGUGGGGUAGUGGCUUACCAAGGCGUUGACGGGUAGCCGGCCUGAGAGGGUGACCGGCCACAUUGGGAAGGCGCUACCGCCCAGACUCCUACGGGAGGCAGCAGUGGGGAAUAUUGCACAAUGGGAGGAAGCCUGAUGCAGCAACGCCGCGUGCGGGAUGACGGCCUUCGGGUUGUAAACCGCUUUCGCCUGUGACGAAGCGUGAGUGACGGUAAUGGGUAAAGAAGCACCGGCUAACUACGUG
rnacentral:rRNA from 1 species